CCACAAAAUAAAGAAUUUUUUUAAUAAUAAAACAAUCUUCCCGGAAAAAAAAUUCUGAGAGAGAUUUUUUUUUAUUUUUUCUCAUAACCCUAAUAUUGUUUCCGACCGCCCACGACUCUCUUCUCCACCACAUCCCUUCUCUUCCAGAAGUUUAACAGAAGAUCGAUUUGAUUAAUUUGAUCAACUGGGGUUUUUUAUGUGUAGGUAAUAAGUUUCUAUGUUUUCCUAUUUUUCAUAAAAAAAUCUCUGCGAAAAAUCUCACAUCUUCUUCUUCCAGUAUCAUCAACCACAUCAGGUAAUGUUCCAGUGAACACUAAGUAUACAUAGAUAAAUAGGGUUUCGUUGAUUAGGGUUUCGUUGUCAUCAUCAUCAUCUCUAUUUUGCUAGAUGUUAUUAGGGUUCACUUUUUUAUUAGGGAUACUUAGAUAAAUAGUUGCAGAGAGGUUGGACUAAUCUUCAAGGUGUUUAUAAUCAAUUUUUGGUGUUUAGUUUUACUGUUUUUUGUUUUUCAACUCAACUCUUUACUUGAAAGUGAUUUAUGUCAUUGUUAAUGGAUUGAUACCAAUCACAGUGCCCAGAUUCGAAGCAAAAACAAUUUGUUUUCCCAUACAUAUGAUUAUUGUUUUUCUCGAUCUUUAAACUUUGACUCUUAGGGUUUCUUCUAAUUUUUUUAGGGAUUUCAAACAUUUGAUUUGCAGAUGAGUUACUUAAUUGGAGAUGCCUGAAAAUUGUGGAUAUUUUUGUUCCAUGUAGUCAAUUUAUACUUUCAAGAUCUAGGUGAUGUUUUUGUUCUUAUCAUAACUGUCGAACUUUAUGUUUAUUUGUAGGAUUGUUAUAUGUCUGAUGUCAUGGCUGCAGUUGACCAGUUAAUUUGGUCGAAAAAAUUCGGCAAUUUGAUUUAUCUUAGCUAUGAUUUACAAAACUAAUUGAUGCUUCUGAAAAAGAUUUAUGUUUCUGAACAAUAACUUCCUCUUUGCAUGUUAGUAAAGUAUGUACUUAUAUUUGCUACUCGGAAUUAAUUUAUUGAGCCUCCAAUAAUUUUAAAAUUUUAUCAAUCAUAAUAAGCUAUCCAACAGUUCUACCCAAAUCACUGUUCAUCCUGAAUUCAUAGGUUGUCUAUCAUUAUGAUUGUUGGCGGUUUUGAAAAAGCUUCCAAGAUAACCAAUAUUGUUCAUAUGAUAAGUAUAGAUGUUACCUGUUACAGAUACUUGAUUAGUAAUCCAUAUUCAUACAAAGUUUGUUUUUCAUCAAUAAUGGAAUUAUAUUCUUUCCUUUUUGAGUAAGGGCUAAGCGUUCAUUCCAUAUUACUACUGAUUGUUUCUAUUACUGUUAUAUCCUUAUAACCCCGCUUUAAUCUCAAAACCGUGUUUGCGUCUUCUUACAUAAUUCUAUGUAUUAGUUUUAUCUGUGAUUUCAGGUGAUAAAUUAUGUUACGAGUUGGAAUUCAAUUGGAAUCGAAUAUUGCUACAAUGGCCAAAAGCCUUUUCCUGCACCUUUCUUAGAAAUUGCAAAGCAGUCUCCAUGGGUUGGUAUAAAGGCCGUGCAGACCCAGUUAGUAAUUUCAGUACAAUGGUAGUAUUAUGAGUUAUAUAUUAAACUGGAACAUGGUAUGAGUACACCAACCGAUACAGGGGCCAAUCUUAUAAUGGUUGGAAUGGUUUGGGUGAGCUGUUUCAAGGGCGCCUUGAUGAUGGAACCAUUAGGAGUGUUAAAUAAUGCAAUGCUGGCGAAGACUGUACUGAGACAAGUAUUCAAACACGGUACUGAGGAGGCGUUGCUUCUUCUUUAUGCAUGUAACGUGAUUACUUUGUAAAUUUUCUGCAUAAUACUGUAAAAUUCGUGGCAACUAUUUAAUUUUUUCACUGUCUAAUUCGGGGUAUGGAAUGUUUUAAAUGUCUAUGUAAUAUAUUUGAUUGGUAGCAAAUUUAUUAGCUCAUGUUAA